rnacentral:rRNA from 1 species
AUUGAACGCUGGCGGCAUGCUUUACACAUGCAAGUCGAACGGUAACAGGCCGCAAGGUGCUGACGAGUGGCGAACGGGUGAGUAAUGCAUCGGAACGUGCCCAGUCGUGGGGGAUAACGCAGCGAAAGCUGCGCUAAUACCGCAUACGAUCUAUGGAUGAAAGCGGGGGACCGUAAGGCCUCGCGCGAUUGGAGCGGCCGAUGGCAGAUUAGGUAGUUGGUGGGGUAAAGGCUCACCAAGCCAACGAUCUGUAGCUGGUCUGAGAGGACGACCAGCCACACCGGGACUGAGACACGGCCCAGACUCCUACGGGAGGCAGCAGUGGGGAAUUUUGGACAAUGGGCGCAAGCCUGAUCCAGCAAUGCCGCGUGCAGGAAGAAGGCCUUCGGGUUGUAAACUGCUUUUGUACGGAACGAAACGGUCCUGGUUAAUACCUGGGGCUAAUGACGGUACCGUAAGAAUAAGCACCGGCUAACUACGUGCCAGCAGCCGCAGUAACAC